rnacentral:rRNA from 1 species
AUUGAACGCUGGCGGAAUGCUUUACACAUGCAAGUCGAACGGCAGCACGGGUGCUUGCACCUGGUGGCGAGUGGCGAACGGGUGAGUAAUACAUCGGAACGUACCCAGUUGUGGGGGAUAACUAACCGAAAGGUUAGCUAAUACCGCAUACGACCUGAGGGUGAAAGCGGGGGACCGUAAGGCCUCGCGCAAUUGGGGCGGCCGAUGUCUGAUUAGCUAGUUGGUAGGGUAAGGCCUACCAAGGCGACGAUCAGUAGCUGGUCUGAGAGGAUGAUCAGCCACACUGGAACUGAGACACGGUCCAGACUCCUACGGGAGGCAGCAGUGGGGAAUUUUGGACAAUGGGCGAAAGCCUGAUCCAGCCAUUCCGCGUGAGUGAAGAAGGUCUUCGGGUUGUAAAGCUCUUUCGGCAGGGAAGAAACGGCCUAGGUUAAUACCUUGGGCUAAUGACGGUACCUGAAGAAGAAGCACCGGCUAACUACGUGCCAGCAGCCGCCGUAA